rnacentral:lncRNA from 1 species
UUCUGUUGGUGCAAAAAUCCGCCUGCGCCGGAGAAGCUGGAGUUGAGGAAGCCGCGGUCGCUGCCGGGACCUGCAAGGGAAGUCUAAACCGGAGGUGGGGUUGCUCCGGCAAGACCCUCCGACGCUCAAGUCAGUUCUCUGCCUCAACAAGAAUGGAGUGCUCGAACGGAGAAUUUAGCAGAGUUUUGAGAUAAGGCAAAAGAGCUUAAAAAAUAACGUAUCUGAGUCCCUCCUN